GUUGACUUGCUAAUACAGAAUGGAGGAAAAUACUUCAACAAUGGAUGUGCUAAAAGAAACAAUGGGCAUAGAGUAUUUAUGAAGUUUUCAAUAAUCUCUUCAUGUCCAAUAAUCUCAUUACCAUUUUAUCUUCCGGACUGUGCAACUGUCUAGCCAUCCAGCCGCUAGCAUGCUGCUUACACUAAUGAAGAAUGAAUAAUGGUAGCCAAGUUGCCAACACAAAUGACUUCACAUGAAAAGCAGAGAAAGGUCAAAAAUAGGAUGGAGGAAAAGUUGUAUUGCUGCCAUUAUAUUUGGUGAUGCCCAAAAUUAGUGGGAAAGUCUUCCUAAUCCAAGAGAAAGUUGUUAUUUUUUCCUCAAAUUCUCCAUUCACAAAUAAAAGGGCAUUUUCUUACCAAUAAAGCCUGUGCCAGUGAUGGCUAAACUUUUCAGCACCAAGUGCCAAAAGUGGAGCACGUGCGACAGAGUGCUGAAACCUGGAAGAAAGCAACUGGUUGUGUUGUGGUCCAUCAGCAGCCUACGGAGCUGGCAAUGGAAUUGGACAGCAAUGAGGCUGAGGUGCGGACUCCAGAGCUUCCAGAGUCUGAUAUUAGUGAGGAAGAGGAACAGGAGGAGCCUGUUCCUAAUGCACACAUGAGAAGAGCUGCCAGAAGGCAAGAGCAGCUCAAGUAAAAAGGACAACUCAGGAGUAGGGCCAAGAGAUGAUUGGCCCCUCCCAUAAGGCUUAAAACAAGACCAGCACCGGUGUUUCAGCUUGCUGGAAAACAACAUUGUAGCUGCGUUCUUUGCUCCGUUCUCUGCUCUGACUUCUGGACAUUUAUCAGGAAGGGCCUUUGGCAGUUUGACUAAUUGGACUCAGAAAGCAGCACCGAGGUGAUCUUGACCGACCUUGGAAAAUCUAAAUAGAGUUGGGCUAUUAAGAAGAAUGGUUUGAAUUGGUCUGGACAAAACUCAGCAGUUUUCAUCCGACUGUUGACAAAAAUAGGAUUGCCAACAUGAUCGCCAACAUCCGAUGACAGAGAUAGCACAAGAAGAAGAAGAUUAAGAACGAUGACUACCAGAAAAGGUCUGGACUAUAAGUGUUGUGGUCCGUCAGCAGCCUACGGAGCUGGGAAUGGAGUCAGACAGUGAUGAGGCUGAGGUGAGGCCAGGGUCAUCAGGAAGUGAGGUGCGGACUCCAGAGCCUCCAGAGACUGAUAGUAGUGAGGCAGAGGAACAGAAGAAGCCUGUUCCUAAUGCAUGCCUGAGAAGAGCUGCCAGAAGGCAACAGCAGCUCAAGCAGAGAGGACAACUCGGGAGUAGGACCAAGAGAUGAUUGGCCCCUCCCAUAAGGCUUAAAACAGACCAGCACCAGUGUUUGAGCUUUGCCAGAAAGUAACGUUGUAGCUGCGUCUUCUGCUGUAUCUUCUGCUUCAUCUAUGUCAUUGUUUUUGUGGCUUCUGGAUGUUUGCCAGGAAAUUAGGCAGUUUGCCUAAUUGGACCAAGGUUUGCGAGAUAACUGAGGAAUUUAUGUUGGGAGGCAUCUGUUUUACUUUGAG